ensembl:snRNA U6 U6 spliceosomal RNA
GCUUGCUUAAAAAAAUUGAAGUGAUACAAAGAAGAUCAACCUGGCCCCUGAACAGGUAUGUUGCAAAUUUGUGAAAUGUUCCAUAAUUUA